rnacentral:tRNA from 1 species
GUGGUUGUAGCUCAGUUUGGUUUAGAGCGUCCCCCUGUGGAGGGGAAGGUCGGGAGUUCGAAUCUCCUCAACCACC